rnacentral:tRNA from 1 species
CAGAAACAUAGUUUAAGAAAAAUAUCGGUAUUGGAGACCGAAGAUUAGAUAUAUUUCUAUUUUCUGA